GACGAACGCUGGCGGCGUGCCUAACACAUGCAAGUCGAACGGAGAUGUUUAUUUCGGUAGAUAUCUUAGUGGCGCACGGGUGAGUAACGCGUGAAUAACCUGACUCGAAGAGGGGGAUAACACCUGGAAACAAGUGCUAAUACCGCAUAAGACCACAGACCGGCAUCGGUCAGAGGUCAAAAGAGAAAUCCGCUUUGGGAGGGUUCGCGUCCCAUUAGGUAGUUGGUGAGGUAACGGCCCACCAAGCCGACGAUGGGUAGCCGAGCUGAGAGGCUGAUCGGCCACACUGGAACUGAGACACGGUCCAGACUCCUACGGGAGGCAGCAGUGGGGAAUAUUGGGCAAUGGGCGCAAGCCUGACCCAGCAACGCCGCGUGAGGGAAGAAGGUUUUCGGAUUGUAAACCUCUGUCGCAGGGGACGAAGGAAGUGACGGUACCCUGUAAGAAAGCCCCGGCUAACUACGUGCCAGCAGCCGCGGUAAU
rnacentral:rRNA from 1 species